AUGGACUUCGCCGUGGACGCUGCGCUCUGGGUGUUGGGCAAGGCGCUGGCCCCGGUCACGGACGGCCUGCUGGAGUCAUGGGCGGCCAGCGCCGGGCUUGGCCACAACAUCGACGCCCUCAAGAUGGAGCUCCUCUAUGCGCAGGGGAUGCUCGACAACGCGCAGGGCAGGGAAUUCCGCAGCCCCGCGCUCAAGGAGCUUCUACACAAGCUCGGGGAGCUCGCGUACGGGGCGGACGAUGUGCUCGACGAGCUCGACUACUUCCGCAUCCAGGAUGCGCUCGACGGCACCUACCACGCCGCCGCCGACUUGGAUGCACAGGGCUGCAUUGAUGGCCUCCUCCUCAAUGCUCGGCACACCGCCAGGGACACUGCUCACAAACUCAGGCUCUCGGCCUCAUGUUCGCGUGGUGCAAGCGCAAGCCAUGGUGAUCCUGACGAUGAAGCAGAAGGUGGCAAACAAGGAUGCCUAUGUAGCAUUCGCACUCGCGGCAGGCAUCAAAUCAGCUCCCCACCAGCGUCACCAACCAACAACGGUGGAUGCAUUUCCAAGGUCGCUUCUCGUGCUCGCAGCACUGCCCACAUUAUCAGUAAGAACUUGACAUGCUACUCCUUCCCGUCCGUUCACGAUGAUGAUGCCAUGUUGGAAUCGUCCAACAUGGCAGCGAGUGGACGGUGGUUCCUUUGUGGCGCCUGGAAGUCCAAGGCAGUACAGACAAAUCAUGUAGGGCAAACUCCCAAAAUGGAAUUUGAUAGGGUGGGGAUGUCCCAAAAGAUGAUGGAAAUAGUGGAGCAGCUGAAAGCCCUAUGUGGAAAGGUCUCCACCAUCCUCAAUCUAGAGCUAUUGGGUUCUAAUCGUACCCCUAACCAAGACACUACCAUGAACAGACCCAAAACCACCCCAAACAUUGUAGAGCCUGAGUUAUUUGGGAGAGAUAGUCUGAAAAAGAACAUCGUGGAUGAUAUUACACAUGGUAAAUAUUGUACAAGUGAACUUACUGUGGUUCCACUUGUUGGUCCGGGUGGUAUUGGGAAGACAACACUCACACAACACAUAUUUAGAGAACUAGAGAGUUCUUUCCAAGUUUCGGUUUGGAUAUGUGUCUCUCUCGAUUUUAAUGCAGAUAGGUUGCUACAAGAGAUUGUGAACAAGAUCCCUAAAGUAAAUGGUGAAAAGGUUAAUACUAGCAACCAAGAGUUAAUUGAACAAAGGUUGAAAUCUAAGCGGUUGUUGCUUGUUUUAGAUGAUGUGUGGACAUAUCAUGAGGAUGAGUGGAAAAAACUAUUAGCUCCAUUAAAACAUAACAAUGGAGACAAGGGUAAUGUGGUUAUAGUCACUACACGAAUUCCAAAGGUAGCAAGUAUGGUCACCACAACUAAUUCUUCAAUCGACGUGGAACGUCUAAGUCAUGGGGAUACUAUGUCUUUCUUCGAAGUAUGUGUAUUUGGUGACCAACGACCAUGGGAAGACCACCCUGAAUUACGUGAUGUUGGGAAUACAAUAGUAACAAAAUUGAAAGGUUUCCCUCUUGCAGCAAAAACAGUUGGUAGAUUACUAAGAAACCAGCUUACCUUGGACCACUGGACAAGAGUUGCAGAAAGUAGAGAAUGGGAAUUACAGACCAACGACAUUGACAUUAUGCCUGCCCUAAAGCUUAGCUAUGAUUUUCUCCCUUUUCAUCUACAACAAUGUUUUUCCUAUUGUGCAUUGUUUCCAGAAGAUUAUGAAUUUGGUAGCAAAGAGUUGACUCACUUCUGGAUAGGACUAGGCAUUAUAAGGUCACAUGAUCAGGCCAAAAGAACAGAAGAUGUUGCACUGUGCUAUUUAAAUGACUUGGUAAAUCAUGGAUUCUUUAGAAAGAAUGAGAAACAAAAUGGUCCUCGUUAUGUUAUUCAUGAUCUACUACAUGACUUGGCUGUGAAGGUUUCAUCGUAUGAAUGCCUUUGCAUAUAUAGUUCUAACAUAAGGUCCAUACAAAUUCCUGCAUCCGUACGUCACUUGUCCAUCAUUGUAGAAAAUACUGAUGUCAAAGAUAUAAUCACUUUUAAAGAAUACAACAGUUAUUUGAGUGCACUAGGUAAAAGAUUGAAAGUUCAGAACUUACGCACUUUGGUGCUGUUUGGUGAAUACCAUGGAAACUUUGCCAAAACUUUUAGGGGUUUAUUUAGGGAAGCUAGAGCCUUACGCACUAUUUUUCUGUCUGGUGCAUUGUAUUCUGUGGAUGAUGUGUUGCUGGACUUUUCAGAACUUGUCCAUCUCCGCUACCUAAGGAUCAAAUCAGUUCGUAAUAAGGACAUGUGCUUACCUAGUGCAUUGUUUAGAUCUUAUCACUUAGAGGUAAUUGAUCUUGAAAGUUGGGGAGGUAGCUUUGGUUCAACAAGUCAAAUGAGCAGCCUUGUAAAAUUGCGUCAUUUUGUUGUGCCGGAAGAUAGUCUUAAACUUCACUCUAGCAUAUGCGAGGUUGGGGAACUUAAAUUCCUAGAGGAACUGAGGAGAUUUGAAGUGGGAAAAGAAACCAAGGGUUUUGAACUAAGUCAACUAGGAGAACUGACAGAGCUUGGAGGAUCACUUGGCAUUUAUAAUCUCGAAAAGGUGCAGAAAAAAGACGAGGCAAAUGAACUAAAACUGAUAGACAAAAACCACUUGCACAAGUUAAUACUAGAAUGGUGUAUUGAUAGACCUAACAGGAAUGCAGAACAAGAAGAACAUGUCAUUGAAAGUCUCGUACCACACAGUAAUCUGCAAGACCUAUGCAUUAGAGGACAUGGAGGUGCUAAUUGCCCAUCAUGGUUGGGCAGGUACCUCUCUGUUGAAAAUUUAGAAUCUCUUUCCCUAUGUGACGUAUCUUGGAGCAACCUUCCCCCUUUAGGGAAGCUGGGGUUCGUUGCUGGUGAAGGGUGGCAGAGUCAUGUCUCAAGCCAAAGUUUCCAUAUUCUGAAAAGGCUAGAAAUAGUCAACAUACCAAAACUACAAAAAUGGGCUGGAAACGAACCUUGUCAUUUGUUCUCCGUUCUAGAGGUGGUCAUCUUUAUAGAUUGUCCUGAACUCGUCGAAUUGCCAUUUUCACACCCUACUAGCCAUCGAGCAAAGCAUGAUGAGAAUAUGUCUUGGUUUCCUAAACUACGGGAGCUCAAGAUUAUAUGCUGCCCCAAAUUGGCGUCAUUGCCUCCAAUCCCUUGGACUCAAGCUCUGUGCUCUGCUGAGAUAAGGCAAGCAGGAUCAGUAUUUGAGCAGCUAGUUUACCCAAAUAACUACGGAGCGGAAUUGAGUUUGGAAGUUGAGGGAAAAGAUGGUCAGCAUGGCGUGCUGUGGAAUGGGCUGGCUUUCCAUAAUCUAGCUGGUCUGAAAGGGCUGUGGGUGAAGAACUGCCCUCCCCUGCCACUGAUUCACCUCCAAAAGCUAAAAUCUCUCAAGUUCCUCGUGAUAACCGGUACGAGCAACUCGUUGCUGCUGUUUGAAGGUGAAGGCUAUAAUACUGAAUGCCCGCUUCCAGUUGAACAUAUUGGGAUCAAGGAGUGUGGUGCUGAUGGGAAGGAACUGACACAACUAUUAUCUCAUUUCUCGAAGCUCACUAAGUUGGGAGUGAGAAGUUGUGAGAAGAUAACAGAGCUUGGCGUGGAGGAAAUUGUAAUUGAGUAUGCACAAGAAAGGCACCAUCAGACAAGAGGGGAGGAGGUAGAAGAUGCAGCAGCAGGAGGAGGAGGUCUGCUGCUGCUGCCUCGGCAACUAGAGGAGUUGAGCAUCAUUGAGUGCAGAGAGCUGCGGUUACUCUCCGGUUCACUUGGGAAUGACAGCAAACACGGAGGAGGGCUCCAGAGUCUUUGUCCUCUCCAAAGUCUCUGCUCCCUCCGCUCGUUGGAGAUAUAUGAUUGCCCCAGGUUCCUCUCGUCCUAUUCGUCCUCCGCCUCAUCUUGUUUCCCCUUCCCGACCUCCCUGCAACAACUCAUGCUGUGGGGCGUGGAGGGCAUGGAGACGCUGGUUCCCCUCUCAAAUCUCCUCUCUCUCACCGAUUUAACCGUGCAUAACUGUGGGGAUCUAAGAGGCGACGGCUUGUGGCCUCUCGUCGCCCAGGGCCGACUCACACAAUUACAAGUCACUGAAACCCCCAAAUUCUUCACUGGUUCAGAGCCCUCACAACCGCAUGACCAAGAGAUUCCUUCCUCUUCAUCCAAACUCGAGCGUCUCUGGACAGAUGACUUGGUGGGAGUCCUUACCGCGCCCAUCUGGGAACUCCUCUCUUCCUCCCUCACCAAAUUAAUCUUUUGGGGGAACAAAGAGGUGGAGCGCUUCACAGAGGAGCAAGAGGAGGCCCUUCGCCUCCUCAGUUCCCUCCAGGAACUCGAGUUUUUGGGCUGUGAGAAGCUGCAGCGCCUCUCUGCAGGGCUGACCAAGCUUGCCAGCCUCAAGAUAUUACGCAUCUGGUGGCGUCCAGCCAUUCAAUUGCUGCCCAAGGACGGACUACCAAGUUCUCUGCAAGAAUUAGACAUCAGAGACUGUCCUGCCAUCAAAUCUCUGCCCAAGGACGGCCUGCCAAGUUCACUACAAAAAUUAGAGGUUCCUUAUGGCAUCAGCGUCAAAUCUCUGCCCAAGGACGGCCUGACAAGUUCUCUAUGGAAAUUAGAGGUUUUUAAUGGCAUCAGCGAGGAGCUAAAAGGGAAGUGCCGCAAGUUAAAAGGAAUCAUUCCGAUAAUCAAAGGCUACAACUAA
rnacentral:rRNA from 1 species